GAUGAACGCUGGCGGCGUGCCUAAUACAUGCAAGUCGAGCGAACAGACGAGGAGCUUGCUCCUCUGACGUUAGCGGCGGACGGGUGAGUAACACGUGGAUAACCUACCUAUAAGACUGGGAUAACUUCGGGAAACCGGAGCUAAUACCGGAUAACAUGUUGAACCGCAUGGUUCAACAGUGAAAGACGGUCUUGCUGUCACUUAUAGAUGGAUCCGCGCCGCAUUAGCUAGUUGGUAAGGUAACGGCUUACCAAGGCAACGAUGCGUAGCCGACCUGAGAGGGUGAUCGGUCACACUGGAACUGAGACACGGUCCAGACUCCUGCGGGAGGCAGCAGUAGGGAAUCUUCCGCAAUGGGCGAAAGCCUGACGGAGCAACGCCGCGUGAGUGAAGAAGGUCUUCGGAUCGUAAAACUCUGUUAUUAGGGAAGAACAAAUGUGUAAGUAACUAUGCACGUCUUGACGGUACCUAAUCAGAAAGCCACGGCUAACUACGUG
rnacentral:rRNA from 1 species